GUGAGGAAUAUUGCACAAUGGAGGAAACUCUGAUGCAGCAACGCCGCGUGGAGGACGACGCAUUUCGGUGUGUAAACUCCUUUUAUUAGGGAAGAUUAUGACGGUACCUAAUGAAUAAGCACCGGCUAACUCCGUGCCAGCAGCCGCGGUAAUACGGAGGGUGCAAGCGUUACUCGGAAUCACUGGGCGUAAAGGGUGCGUAGGUUGACUUUUAAGGCAAGUGUGAAAUCCUAUGGCUUAAACAUAGAACUGCGCUUGAAACUGGGAGUCUAGAGUUCAGAAGGGGCAGAUGGAAUUAGUGGUGUAGGGGUAAAAUCCGUAGAUAUCACUAGGAAUAUCAAAAGCGAAGGCGAUCUGCUGGGAUGAUACUGACGCUGAGGCACGAAAGCGUGGGGAGCAAACAGGAUUAGAUACCCGGGUAGUCC
rnacentral:rRNA from 1 species